rnacentral:lncRNA from 1 species
UUGCGGGGCCCUCGUUUUAGAGGGCCUCAAAUCAAUGACCUUCCCCCACCCCAAGAGAAUCUUCACGAUAGCGUGGGUUGGGGCUGGCGGGAGGGCGAGAUUCGCUAUUUCUGAGGCCGGGUGAGAAGGAGUUUGUCCUUUCCUGAGAAACUCAAAAUCUCUCCUCUCUUACAAUUUCCUUUCUCUAAACGUUGCUAAACAAAGGAAGGGCGCCCUGAGAACUUGAGGGUCGCCGAGUUCGCGUUGCCUUCCUUUGGCAGUCGAGAUCAGCGUCAAGUACAUCUUGCCGCUCCUGGACUCGCUGAGAAGGGGAGGAGGAGCCGGGGUAGAGAGGGCCGCGUCCGGCCUCCCGGGGCGCGCAUUCCCCGCGCGCUGCUCCCCUUAGGCGAGCGCUUUUCACUUCCAUUCUGUUCACAGUCCAUUCUUUCUUUGACCUCUUGAACCGAGUCACCCAAGUUGCUGCCAAAGCAGACACUCAGGAUCCUCAGUCUUGGCUACCACCCCUCGACUCUCGCUUAGGAAGGACGUCGUGGGGGCCGCGUGCAAGCCCAUGUCCUGUGUCCCCACGCCCGCGAAGCCCUGGUCAAUUGUCUCCACAAAGCUUUGUCCUCUUCCCACGUGCCCCAGCCGGGAGGAUCCGUAGGAUCAGCGCCGCUGCCGCCGCGCCCAGGCCCGGCAGUGGGGGCGGGGAAGGGCGAUGGCAGGGCCCCCCAGGCUCGGCGUAGAGCUGGCAGUGCCGAGAAGCCAGCACCAGGCCGCCGGUGCGCGCGGGGCACGAACCCAGGCCCCAGUCCGGCCGCUUUUUCCGGCGCUCCCGGCUCCAGUGCUCCGGUGGACCCAGGCCGAAUCCUGCCAAUGUUUUGCUUCAAGCCGUCAGGCUGGCGCUGCAGAACUUUUCUACUACCGAGGAGGGGUCGACAAUAUAAAAGUUCUUUAAAACAAUUGUUUAAAACACACACAAAGCCCCGAAGGAAGAAGUGGUUUAAAGCACUGGGAAGGCAGAAAUCGCAACACCUGGAUUUAACGGAUUUUGUUUUUAAACGCAAUGACCUAAAACGCUACCGUUUAAACUCCACUGAAUCCCGUAGCUCCGGAGUACUUUGAGUGUAAUGGAGCCAGAGAUCGUCUUGCAGUCCCGCCAAAGAAGAGUGCCUGGUACACGUUUUCCCUGCUGUGCUCCCAGUGCUUAAACGUCGAAGGACAGAGAAAGAAGGGGAGAUGGAAAGAAGGAGAGAGAAAGAAAAUGGAGAAAAACAAAGGAAUACAAAAGGAAAAGGGA